UCGAGUGCAGUUGCAAAUAUCAUAAUGAAGCGCAUAGAAAUAAAAAUUGUUUUGAUACUCAUGGUAUACGAAUUCUCUGCUAUCACAGCUAUUGGAUCUGAGACUUGCCAAUUGAACCGAGAUAUGGAAAACCAGUGCCGUACUUAUUCUUACACCGUAGUCAAACCUAUGCUAGAUUAUGUCCGUCAGGUUGAAGAGGAAUUACAACAAAGCAAAGAAAAGGAUAGAAUCAUUGCAGACUUAAGAAAAAGGUUAAUUGAACAGAAAAACAACGAUGAUUUGGUAAAGGAAUUACGAUCUCAACUAGAGUUUCAAAAGAUAAUUCAUACCAAUUGGAAAUUGAUUGAUAAUUAUGGAAAAUGCAAGAAUGAAUUAGCUGAGAAAUCAAUCAAGUUAGUAUUAAAAGAGUUUCAAGUUGAAAAACUUAAUUCUACACUUUCUGAAAAGGAACAAGAAAUUGCAGACAUUUAUAUUCGCAACAAGAAACAGUUAGACCAUCAGUUAGAGGGUUAUAACAAAAAAAUAUUCGAAAAAGACAACAAACUGAAAUUGUGUCAAGCUAAGGAAUCCAAAUCAAGACACUCUGAGGAUUGUGUUAAAUGUAAAGAGGAAAUAGGAAUUUGUGAGAAUCGAGUAAAGACAGAGAUCGAAACUUGUUGGCAGCAUCAUAGAACAAUUGUGACGCAAUUGGAGGCGACACAAACGAAAUUACAGAUAAAAGAAAAAGAACAUGAAUUAUGUCAAACACAACUUAGUUGGAUGUUGUAAAAUUCUGUCAAAUUUUCUAACUGGUUGUAUUCCACUACAAAAUGUCGAAAAUGCAGUUGAUCAUCAAAUUAAAGUUUCGGGUUUUGCUUCCUUCAAUGCUUUAUGCGAUAGCGAGUUAGCAAAACCUGGAUGGAUAGUUAUAGAACAGCGUAUUGGUGAAAAUAUGAUUAAUGGAAAUUUGUCCUCGUAUCGCGAUGGAUUCAGUUUCGUAAAAAGUAAUUUUUUCCUUGGGUUAGAAAAGCUCUAUCACCUGACGAGAUCGCAACGGUAUGAGCUCUAUGUUCAUUUGGUUUUAUCAGACGAUCGUAUUGAAUAUGCUCGGUACGACAACUUUAAAGUAGAUAAAAAUAAAUAUAGAAAUAAUCGCUAUGAAGUAACAUUGGGUUAUUGCAACGGAACUAAAGAUUUGCUAGACAUACCCAUUAUUUAUUAUAGUGAAGAACCAUAUAUGAUUAAAAAUAUCAAGCUUAUCUUCGAUCAUGGAGUCGGCUGGUGGUCCUACAAAACUUACCCAAGGAAUACAAAUCUAAGAGUCCGAUAUCAAAUACCGACUUGCUACCCCACUAUUAAACUCGCUAAUAUGCUCAUACGUCCCUUGGAUUAAAGGAGGAAGUAAAUAUACAAGUACAUAAGUUAAAAAUGGAAAAUAUAUUUUAUAUUAUUCAAGUCAAGUACAACAAGUACGAAAUCUACCCGGUAGACAUUUUAAAUAAAAGCAAAACAUCAAGGCUUUAUUCUUAAAAUAUACCGAAAUAAUAUACCACAAAAUACUAAAAAUAUGACAGGUGGUAUAUUAAUAUAGUACUAAUAUCAAACUAUACCAUUGAGUGCAAAAUUUACCAGAUUGUCAACCAAAGAAACUAAUACCUCUAGUAAGUGGGCGAAUUUUCCUAUAAAAAUAUUUCUUCAAUAAUUUCGACAAUUUUUGUCUGAUCACAACCAAAUUUCGGGAAUCAGAAAUACUGCAGUUAUUAUUGAAUAUACCAAAUUAAGCUUGUUAUUCAUGGGCGGAUGUGGGAUUGGCAAAAAUUUGAAACAAAUC